rnacentral:rRNA from 1 species
UACGAAAGGGGCUAGCGUUGUUCGGAAUUACUGGGCGUAAAGCGCACGUAGGCGGCCUUGUAAGAUGGGGGUGAAAUCCCUGGGCUCAACCCAGGAACUGCCUUCAUGACUGCAAAGCUUGAGAAUGUGAGAGGUUGGCGGAAUUCCGAGUGUAGAGGUGAAAUUCGUAGAUAUUCGGAAGAACACCAGUGGCGAAGGCGGCCAACUGGCACAUUUCUGACGCUGAGGUGCGAAAGCGUGGGGAGCAAACAGG